rnacentral:ncRNA from 1 species
ACAAUGGAGAGUUUGAUCCUGGCUCAGGAUGAACGCUAGCGGCAGGCCUAAUACAUGCAAGUCGGACGGGAUCCAUCGGAGAGCUUGCUCGAAGAUGGUGAGAGUGGCGCACGGGUGCGUAACGCGUGAGCAACCUACCUCUAUCAGGGGGAUAGCCUCUCGAAAGAGAGAUUAACACCGCAUAACAUCAACAGUUCGCAUGUUCGGUUGAUUAAAUAUUUAUAGGAUAGAGAUGGGCUCGCGUGACAUUAGCUAGUUGGUAGGGUAACGGCU